rnacentral:rRNA from 1 species
CCUACGGGAGGCAGCAGUGGGGAAUAUUGCACAAUGGGCGCAAGCCUGAUGCAGCGACGCCGCGUGGGGGAUGACGGCCUUCGGGUUGUAAACCUCUUUCACCAUCGACGAAGGUCCGGGUUCUCUCGGAUUGACGGUAGGUGGAGAAGAAGCACCGGCCAACUACGUGCCAGCAGCCGCGGUAAUACGUAGGGUGCGAGCGUUGUCCGGAAUUACUGGGCGUAAAGAGCUCGUAGGUGGUUCGUCGCGUUGUUCGUGAAAUCUCACGGCUUAACUGUGAGCGUGCGGGCGAUACGGGCAGACUAGAGUACUGCAGGGGAGACUGGAAUUCCUGGUGUAGCGGUGGAAUGCGCAGAUAUCAGGAGGAACACCGGUGGCGAAGGCGGGUCUCUGGGCAGUAACUGACGCUGAGGAGCGAAAGCGUGGGGAGCGAACAGGAUUAGAUACCCUGGUAGUCCACGCCGUAAACGGUGGGUACUAGGUGUGGGUUUCCUUCCUUGGGAUCCGUGCCGUAGCUAACGCAUUAAGUACCCCGCCUGGGGAGUACGGCCGCAAGGCUAAAACUCAAAGGAAUUGACGGGG